GCGUGAGUCACUGCGCCUGGCCGUGUUUUUUUUGCUGAUAUGAAAUUAUUCAUUUACAUGUUCUUAUGCAGUGACCAAACCACAGACUUUUAAAACAGCCACAGGGUGGGGGCAGUCUAUUACCCUAAGACAAGACACAUUUAUUUGGCCAAAGUAUUUACUUGUGUGCUUCUUAUGUACAAGGCACUGUGAUAGGUGCUGGAGAAAAAAAAAAAAAACAGUUCCAUACCUUAAAUUGCAGAAGGCAGGUAUCCUGUGCAGAAGGCAGGUAAGUUAACCAACAAGCCUCCACAGCCUUGGGCACUAUGCAGAAUAUUUCUUGUCUUUAGUUAAAUUUAACUCAAUUCGUUUGCCAUAUUACAGGCACAGUGUAAGGGAAUACAAAGAUAAAUGCCUGCACUCUACCCCCAAGGAGUUCAGAGUCCAAGAGAGAGACAGAUAUAUCAACAAAUAUUAACAGUGCAGAGGGAUAAGCCAAGAGUCUAAGUAUACGAAUAAUUCACAGGCAGGAAAGAGAAGGGAGUGAUUAUCCAUCGUCCCCAACCCCUCACUGGGAAGUCUUUGUGGAAGAGGUGACACCUACUCUGGGCUUUGAAAGGCAUUUCAGGCAGUGGAGUUGGGGCACAAAGUCACAUAGUGAUGAAACUGAAUGGCAUGUUUAGAACGAUGUUGCUGGAGGGUGAGAGGAGGAUAAUGGAGGAGAGUAAUACCAGAGAAGUGGACCCUGAGAACUCAGAGAGCUAGCGACUAAGGAGAAGGUACAGGAUUUGAACACAGGAUGUCUGAUUGCAGAGCUAGAACCACGCUGUGUCUGUGCAGAGGAAGCAGCCAAUGAAUCAUGAGUAUUUUAUGGUGAUUAUUAUUCAGUCCCUCUACUGUCCAUGAGAUUCAACUACCAGUGCAUGGGGACCAGGCCAGGGCUCAACGCCACAUGACAAAUGCCAUUCUGUAUCCAGAAUCUUCCUCCUGUCCACUGACUAAGAGAGCGCUUAUAAGUGACCUCUCCAUGUGGCUUGAGCCUGUCACAGCAUGGUGGCUGGAUUCUGGGAGUCAGCAUUCCAGGAGUGAGCUUUCUAAGAGGAAAAAAUGAGGAGCUGUCAUACAAAAAAAGAGUCCUCCCAUUCAUCUCAGAUCCUCCUCACCUAUACGUGCCACUUGGACCUCAUUUUCUGGCAAACUACCGUGGGCUCACCAGCUUCGGCUCCAGUUUUCAGAGCCAUGUGAUGAGACUUCCCUCCUUCAUCACAGACUGUUUGGCACCGAUCCCAGCCAGGGUGAGCUUCUACUGCUGCAGAAUCAGAAAGGAAAGGGGACAUUUUUAGCAUGGAGACUAUGAUGGUUAAUACUGACUGUCAACUUGAUUGGAUUGAAGGAUGCAAAUUAUUGUUCCUGCGUGUGUCGUUGGAGGUGUUAGCAAAGGAGAUUAACCUUUGAGUCAGUGGACUGGGAGAGGCAGACCCACUGCAGUCUGGGUGGGCACCAUCUAAUCAGCUGCCAAUGCAGCUAGAAUAAAUCA